rnacentral:rRNA from 1 species
UGAGGAAUAUUGGUCAAUGGGCGCAAGCCUGAACCAGCCAUUCCGCGUGAAGGAAGAAGGCCUUACGGGUUGUAAACUUCUUUUCUGUAAGAAGAAUAGCCCCGACGUGUCGGGGUAUGACGGUAUUAUAGGAAUAAGCAUCGGCUAACUCCGUGCCAGCAGCCGCGGUAAUACGGAGGAUGCAAGCGUUAUCCGGAUUUAUUGGGUUUAAAGGGUGCGCAGGUGGUUUUAUAAGUCAGUGGUGAAAGUCUGGCGCUUAACGUUAGGAUUGCCAUUGAUACUGUAGGACUUGAGAAUGGAUGAGGUAGGCGGAAUGUGUAGUGUAGCGGUGAAAUGCAUAGAUAUUACACAGAACUCCGAUUGCGAAGGCAGCUUACUAAUCCAUGACUGACGCUGAGGCACGAAAGCGUGGGGAUCAAACAGG